AGUAACCUUAGCCCUGCUUGGAGAUAAACUCAACUGUAUACCUGAAUACAUCUUUGCUUUAAUUCCCCCGUCAGCGAUCAAGGCGAUACCAGAAUCUUCGAUGGCUUUACUGACUCCCGCGGUAUUCAACACACUGACUCCGGAACAACUCAGAGACGCUCACCUGACUGAUGAGCAGAUGCAGAUGGCGCUAUCAGUGACAUUCAGGCCGAUGGCGGAGGCCAGAAAAGCUUCAGCUGCAGCAGGGUAUUUGGAAGUCUGUUUGAAGACCAUCAUCUUUGUUACCAUUUCCCUCUACUUGAAGAUGCUUUCAGACUAUUAAGAGAAUCUGCGCUUUAUAUUUUGAUGAUACUGAUAUCGAGUUGUUUGCCUUUGAUAGACGGAACUACUAGCAGUUUUUGCUGAGAAAGGAAGGAUGAAAAGUGAUAAAAAUCUCGACGAGGUGGAUUAUAGAGCCAGGAAAGAGGACAGAGGAAUGGCGUUCAGUUGGUCUCCUUAAACAAAAUACCACUGUAAACAUGAUAUAAAUUGUGAUAAAAUUUGAUACCGGUUUGCACUUUAUAGUACAUGUAUUUGGA